rnacentral:piRNA from 1 species
UUUUAUCGAAGGAAACCCAUU